UGGGUUCGUUGGGGCCGACCACGCAGU
rnacentral:piRNA from 1 species